CAGAGUAACUAUAAGUCUGGAAACACAGAAACACAUGCAUGAUAAAUGGCUUACCGAUAUUACAGUAUAAUGUACAAUAUGGUCAGUGACACUACAUGAUCUAGUCAAUGUAUUGUCAUUAGCAAUGCACAGUUCAGAGCGCUAUAAGAAAUUGCAGUGACUCUGGGGCAUCAAUGCAGCAUUGUCAUCAAGCCCACAUAUUCACCUGUGAUGCAUUAUUUCAGACUAUCUGUCUCUGAUUUUCACCUAACAACCAACAACACGACCUGUGCUUUAGCAUGCCACAGACAAAUACAAAAUCAAUCCAUAUAAAAUAGCUGUCUAUCUUUUCAGGUUUUAUAGCCAGCCUGUAGAUUGUUAAAUCUUGAACCUUGAGCCUUUUAUCUAAUUAUCUUUUUCUCUGAGCCUUACAGUCUCUAAAAGUAUAUUAUUUCUCCAAGUCACUGAUAAAAAUCUAGACCUGGAGAAGUCCAUAGAACACAAUUAGAGACAACUCCCUUUGGGUUGACUUUGAACCUCUCAGCAGAACUCAUGCAAGCCAUCAUCAUGUGUUGAGGGUCCCCAUGUGCCUGCCACUGUUCUGGGCUUUGAAACUACAACCUCCUUCAGUACCUACAGGCACUGGAGAGGGCAGAUAAGAAAGCUGCCCAUUGUAACCCCAGAAAGAGCACGAUGAUAGCAGAGUUCUUGGUGAGCACGCAUAAGGGAUUGCCUUAGUCCUUUCAGGCUGCUGUAACAAAAUACCACAGCCUGGGAGGCUUACAAACGGCAGAAAUGUACUGCUCACAAUUCUGGAAGCUGGACAUCAGAUUCAGGGCCAGCAUGGUCAGGGGAGAGCCCUCUUUCUGGUCAUAGGUUUCUCCUUGUGUCUUCAUACCAUAUCCUUAUGCAGCAGAGGGAGACAGGGAAGCUCUGAGGCCUCUUUUUUAAAAGCGCUAGUCCCACCCACUCUCAUAACCUAAUCACCUCCCAAAGGCCUUACCUUCUACCACCAUCAUAUUGAGGACUUCAACGUGUGAAUUUGGGAGAACACAAUCAAUUAUAGCAGGAACUUCUAAACCAUGCUGGGCAGAAGGAAAGGUUUCCCAGAGGAGGUGCAGUUUAAGCUGAGUUUUGAAGGACAAACAGCCAGACAAAGGUAGGUUAUUCCACAUGAAGGAACACUGCGUGACAAAGGCACUGAGGCUGGAGAUAGUGGCUCAAGAAUGGCAAAGCCCAGCCGUGAGGAUCUGUGAGCCCUUAGUGGGGAGGGAGGUGGAAGGGAGACAAUAGUUAUUUGGUCUGGCUUGUUUUUCUCAAACCUGUGCUAGUUCUCAAUAGUCAUGCUUGUCAAAGGGCUUAAAAAAACUUUCUCUAAAUUACAUUUUAAAAAAUUACAUUUUAAUUAAAAUUUUGCCAGGCUUAUUGGUUCACAUAGCAGGUACUGUAUCCAACAAUCUUUUGGAACCAGUCUUCAAGAGUGUUUUAGGCAUCAAGCACAAACGCUCUGUUAUCUCAGCUGCAGGAUUGUCCAGGGGCCUGGAUGGGAGACUGCAGGGCCUGGAGACUUGGACAUAAUGAAAAUACAGCCCUCAUUGGCAUACCAGAUCCCCCCGCCUCGCGUCCAGGGCUCUUCUAGCGAUGCUUCUCUCAACUUCCUCGUUAAGACCACUUUGCUCUUAUGAGGAGCAAUAAAUAAAAUGGGAGUUUGGUGGUCUUGCUUUCUCUAUCCUGUUUACAUGCUACAAGAAUCCCUAAUUAAUGGGCCUCGUUGCUUUUUCAAUCAUAACUGAGAAUAAUCUAAUACUACCACCCUUUUUGCUUUGUUUUGUUGUUGUUUUCUGCAAGCUUCAGCUCAUGUUGGGCACUGUUCUCACAGAAAGGUGUCACUCUCCUCAGUUUGUCCUUGGUACUGUGCCCUUCCUUCUAUCUUUGUCCGUGUCCUUUUCUAAACCAUGCAUGUCAUGAAAAACACAAUGGCACCAAUAGCUGUGUCCCCUCGGGGAUUAGUCACGAUUCAGUUCGUUUGGCAGAGCCACUGUCCCUCUUGAGUCUCUCCCUUUUUAGAGUUGCAAGCCAUAGGCUCCCACCUAUCUUUUGUCUACAUUCAAAAGAAUGUGAUUUCCUCAAGUUUAUCAGUUCCUCUGCUUUAUGUAAUAAGCCUUCUUGGUGCUAGAAUGAUUGAACCCCUCAUUACUACUCUCUCUCACCUCUAUCCCAGUUCAGUGAUCCAAAGUAGGAGAGACCCCCUGCACCUCACGUCUGACCAUCCAUCUGUGCUGUGCACACCCUCACUCUGCUCUUGUCUGUGACACUCACACAAAACUCACUGCAGUUUCUGGUAGGAUUUCUGUGCCUCUACGGACACACACUCCUUCGUGUCCCUCAGGUCUCUUUCCUCUGAGCAGGGCAUGCCCGUAUGCCAGGCUACAGCUUCAUCUCACUGAGUCCCGGUGACACCUAUGAGGUCAUUUGCCCUCUCUGGGCUCAUGUCAUUGGUUAAUCCCAUUUUGUAUAUUUUUAUACAGACAGGAAAACUAUGAGAUCUUCCAAUAUUAAUGAAGAUGCUGAUCAUUGAUCUGUUUCUCUUGACAGACUCUUGCUUUCAUUACCUUCCUCAUUAACCCAUAUUCCUAACUGAUGUUUGGUUGAGCAAAGUGCCCCUUUUAGAAGUAGGGUCAGUAGGCUAAAUAAACAAUCAGGUCAGGCAAGGAAUAGGAGUGCACAUCUUAUCUGUUUUCCUAGCUAUAUUCCGGGGAGGAAUUGGGCUGGUAAAAUGUUGGUAUUUAAGUACAUGCUCACUUAUUGGUCACCCUUACUCCACUUUAUGUGGAAAAACAAGUUAACAAACCUCCAGGAGGUUACAGGGUCCCUUUAUUACGGGGAGUGAUGUGUCACAGCAAACUUUCACCCCUGGCUUCUCUUUCUUAUGACCUUCCUCAUCCUCCGUUCCUUUCAUGCCUAUGGUGGUGAUAAGAGCAAAAAAAUGAAAGGGAAGGAAGAGAAACCUGGAGAGCAGUGAGGGUACAGGAGCAUGGCACCCAGGGACCCCUGGCCCAAACCUGCACCCAGGGAACACCCACCACCUCACCAACAACUUAGAUAAGAGCACCGGAGCUGUGCCCAGGCCACCAAGAUCAGAGUCCGAGUCCACAGUUGUAAUCUCUAGUACAUUACCCUGUUAAGAGGCAGCUGAAGGAGGUUUAUUUAAAUCCAUCCCUCUCCAGAAUUAAGUAAAUUUCCACUUUCAACCAUUGCAAAAGGUCUCUGAGGCAAGACGCUUCUUUGAAAUCUGACCAACUGGUGCCUCAGAGGGGAGGACAGUUUUGGAAUCUGCCAGAUAUCGGUUCAGAGCCUAGAUUUGCUAUUUAUCAGCCGAAUAACCUAGGACAAGUUAUUUACUCUCUCCGUAUUGAUUUCCUUUUCGAUCAAAUAGGGAUAUAGGAGCCCCUCCACAGAUGGUCAUGGCGCUGAAGGUUCCAGGGAUGUAAGUGCUGGCCCAACAAGCUUGACACCUGCAGCCUCAGUCACUACCUCCUCUACCCACUCCCCCCCCCAUGGAAACCAGUGGCACCGGGGCUGGGACUGCUGUGCCAUGGGGUGCUCAGGCUUCCAUUCACCGCCCUUCCUCCCAUACUAAGCCUGUCAUUGGCAGGCUCAGCCAUCAUAUUUUUCUGGAUCUUUCAGAAAGCAGUAGGCCCUGCCUCUUAACUCCAAGGAUGGGUGUGAGCCAUUUCAGUGGUAACACUCUGGGUACAUGAGACUGUUUUCCCUUGAUAAAGCCUCCAAAUCUGUCACCUCCCCACGCAAGGAAAAGGAGGCACGGACGUGCAGACACAAAUCAAUGAAUGGGGGCUUGUACUUUAAGUUGACUCUCAAAAAUGAAAUAUAAGUUUCAUUUCCUUAACACAACCCGCAUACAUCACUGUUUUGCUAGAAAAGUUUUCUUUGUGAGAUAGAAAAGCCUUGGGAACCCUGUGUUCUUUUGAGACACAAUAUUAUCCAAAUAGGUCCCUUCAGGGCCAUUUCCUGCUUUGUUUUGCUCGGUUUGAUAACCAGCUUUAUUGUUAUUGGUAUUAUAUAUUCUGUCAGCAAUCUCAGACCUGCUUCUCAAAUACCUGUCAUGGGCCCCCUCAAGUGAUUAUUCCAAAUAGGCCAGGAAAUUUUCUUGUUCAAGCCUUGUCCUGGGACUUUGUGUUGCUGGAACCUUUUUAACUGCUUGCAUUUAUCUUGUUUUGGUCUCCUAGGACCCAGAUCCACAUUAAAACACAUCCCUUUUUAUAAAAACAUUAUCUUCCAUUUCUGCAGGCAAGGGGGCCUCUCUCCAGAUAAGCAGCUCAUUCUAGCUCUCUCAGUCCCUGGUUUCAAAACCUGCCCUUUUGGAGAACUGUUUAAUAACUUCUGAAGAGUUCUUGCUUUAUCUUGAGACUCAGAGACAAGCGUGACCUGGAAUGUCUGUCUGAGACAGCAAAGACACUGUCACACAGAUCUGCCACCGCUAUCUUCACAGGACACUUGCAGGCUUGACGCACCUCCCCAGGCCAUUAAUGAAGCCAGUCCCCACUGUUUAUGCUCAGUGCCCUAGCCCCUAGGUUUUUCUCCCCUUUUAUCCUCAGCUCUUUUAAAAGCUUAUUGAGAAAGAUUCUGAGGCCACACCAAAGCUCUGUGGGAAAGUGUGCUGCAAUUGAUUACUACAGUCUGUCAUGAGCAUGGUAUUAACAGCAGGAUCCCGUGCUCAUCUUUGCUGUCCCUGGUCUAACCUUUUUAUAAUGUAAGUGCCACAGUGUUCACAGGACAACCGUCUUCAGCAUCUUCAAUUCUUCUCUUUAAUGAGAAUGCCUCCCGGACUCGGUGAAAUUAGAUCUUUUCCUUAACAUGUUAGUUGUUCAAACAGGUUUGUCAUUUUGUCAUCAUAUACAUGUUUCUUGUGAUCCUGUAGUAUGAUUUACCUUUCCCAAGCUCUGAUACUGUGUGGUGACAGGAAGCCACAAUCUUAGCACUCUUGGCAACAUGGUUGUAUCCUUCUCUGUUCUUACCCCUCAUUGAGGUCUCAACUGGGACUAGGGGGUCACCAUUUAAUUCCCUUCAUCCUUCGAUUCUGAUGUGAACUCUUACAUACCAGCCAAGCCCCACUUCCCUUUCUCGGACUGCUUCUCCCUCAUGUAUUCCUAAUUUCAAUUUUAUCUCUCUUUCUAGCCAGUUUUGAUGUUCAUUUCCUGGUUAGUGAUCAUGAGAAUGUCAAUGGUUACUGAAGCCGGGGUAUUCUUGAGGCCGAGGCGCCUUCAUCCCACAUCAAAGGGAACCCUCUAGGGCAGCAGGAUUAACUAGUGACUGUUAUUUUAUUCAUAAGUUUCUAUAUUUCCCCAUUUUGUCAGUGAGCAUAUAUUACUUGCAUAUUUAGAAAAAAUUAAGUGUGAUUUAAGAACAAAUCGUCUAGACUUGUGGUUUGUAGCCUUUCCCUUUUUUAAAGCAGCAGCAGCACUCUUUGUUCAAAUCUUAUAGGGAAACAAAUGAAAGAGCAGCUGUUCUGGUUGAAAUGAGAUCUGUGUGUAUGCGUACGUGCGCAUGUUUGUGUACAUGUUCGUGCGUGUGUGUUGUGUGUUUGUGUAUGAAUGUUGCAUGUUUGUGUGUUGCAUGUUUAUGCGUGUGUGUAUGGGGUACCUCCUGUGUUGCUGUAUAUUCUGCUUUUUUUUCAUUCCCAGAAAGGAAUAUCCAGCUGGACCCUCUUUGCCCAUCAAAUAGGAAAUUGUGUCUGGCGCAGAGCUGGCCUCUGCUGUACAGAGUUACUAUCUUUCAGCCAAGAGCCCACUAGGUGUAUUUGGCACCAUCAGUUGUAAGUAGCUGCACUGUUUCUGGGCAGAGACAUUCCUUUUGUCUGUCAGUUCACAGACUGUCAGUACUCCUCUCCUGUAUCCUCCAGGGACUCUACCCACAGGGAUGGGGCGGGGUUGGGGGGUAGAUAGUGUCACAGGUAGGUCUAAUUUUUAGGACAACCUAUUCAGAAGAGAUAGGAAGAAGUGAUUCCCUGAGAUGUUCUUAGAUGGGCCUGAAUUCCGAUUCUCUCAGCCCCAUGUUUCAGGUCAUCCACCUGGCUCUCUUUAUAGAUGCACUAAGGACCUCUCUAUUCCUAGAAGGACUGGCACUCACCAUUCCUAGGACUGGAGGUUUUUAUUAAGGAUGUGGAGGAGGGAAAGGACUAAAUCAUGUGUGUGCCAGCUCUAGGGCCAACUUCCCUGGGUUUGAAACCUGGGUUUGCUGCCUCCUAGCUGUGUGGCAUUGUCCAGGUUACUGAUGCCCACUCUAAGCCUCAGUUCUCCCAUUCUUAAAGGGCUUAGGACUGGUUCCUGGCUCCUAAGAUCCUCAUGAAAACGAAUCCUGAGGGUUAAUGCUUGUCCAGUCAAGGUAAUAGUUUUAUAAAUGUUUGUUGUUAUUGUCAUUAUGUUGAUGGUCCUUAGUCACCCUGUCUCCCCAGCUCUUGACCUCCUGGGCAAAGUUCUGACCAAGAUUCUGAGUGCUUACAAGGAAAGAAAGAUGCCAUUUUGACCUUUCUGGUGACUUUGCUUUGUGAUGAUGAGAACACCUGUAGUGGCGGAGCACAGCCCGGUGAUGCUGAGGAAGCUGCGUGGGCUCCAGCUCGCGCCUGGCCAGGUAGAGGGCAAGGCUUGUCGACCAGAGGUCAGUGGUAUCACCUCUGCAGGAGCAGCUAGAGCCUCUUCUCUAUUUCCAGAAAGAACUCUUUGUAUCUAGACUAUGGGGGCGAGCAGGACCUGUUCACGUAACUAUUUUGGCUGCCAUUGCUUGAGUCCUUAUUAUAAUGCCAGGCUCUACACAUACAUUCUCCCUUCUAGUCACACAAUCCCUACAAAGAAGCUGUGGUACUCACAACACUGAGGCUCACAGAGGAAAUCAGCCAGCAUCCCAUGUUAAAAAGUGAUAGAGCUAGUACCCAAACCUAACUUCAAACCCUACUGCUUUCUGUUACCCUGCAUUCCUUCUCUCUUCCAUGUCCCCAAAAGUACUGUGGAGCAGAAGGUUUCCACCAACUUUAGGCCUUUAGCAUAUGAUUGUGUCCCCUGUUGAGACAUCUUCUACUUUCCCUGCCAGAAAAGGUGCACUGUCCAGAGAUUCCAGUUGUGCAGCCAUCCUGGGUCAGCUCCCAGAUGGAUAACGCCUGUAUCAAGUCAUGGCUGCUUUUGGACUGGGCCACCGGGCACUCAUCACCUUACCUUUUCCUGGACAUGUGCUCAGGGACAUAUUUGAAUUCACCAUGUUUGCAGGUCAACCACAUAAACACUGGCCUUUCCUGGAGACUACCAGAACAUUCCUGAACUGGUGACACCCAGAGGGAGUCUCUCCAGAGACUGGCAAGUGCGAUGUUUGAGAAACAGAGCAGCCCAGAGAAGCCCUUCUAUUUCACCACAGAGGAAAGAUGGAAGACAUGCAUCUACUCUGGAACUCCUGCCUCAAGAUCUGAGAUGGACAAUCUGGAAAGAUCUGAUCAGCCAUUGGCUCUCACAAGCUAUCUUCCAGAUCAUUCAGAGCAUAAGGAUGGGCAUGUGAGGAGGCCCUGGAUAUGACACUGCCCCUUCCGCUGGAGGGUGGAGGACCUCUUAAGCUCUUAGCCGGGUGUCUGGGAAGUGAGCAGGGCACACAGAAUAGGACAAAAAAAAGGAUCUGCAGUUAUUCCGUGAUCACUUCGUCGUGGAUAUCAGACCACAUUGCCUUCUCGCAGGACAUCUUGGUACAUCCGUGCUCUCGAGCGGAAAAGACACUUGCUUUUCUGUUGGCAGGAUGGGCAGCUCCCGGGUGCCUGCCGCAGUGCUCUCUUUGGUUCGGAAAUGCUUGCAUGUGGCACUCUGAAUGAUCACCGGCUUGUGUUCUAUGGAUACAAUCUCUCCUCCCCUGGGAACUGGUUUUAUAAAUAAACGUCUUUGUUCAACCUUA